rnacentral:lncRNA from 1 species
CACCCUUUAAAAAAUGAGGCCAUCUAUUUAUUACAUUCUGUUUAUAUGUCUACUAGGAAAGAUUCAUUUUCUGCUUGAAGAUUUAACCCCUCAAUUUAUAUUAAAAAGUUAGUUAUACCUAAAUCUUUACUGAUGAACCACGUUCGAGCAUACUUACAGUACCCUUACCAGUUUAUACAUAGUUCUACAUAUUUGAUAGGUUAUAGAGAAGCAUUCAGG